rnacentral:rRNA from 1 species
GACGAACGCUGGCGGCGUGCUUAACACAUGCAAGUCGAACGGUAAGGCCCUUCGGGGUACACGAGUGGCGAACGGGUGAGUAACACGUGGGUGAUCUGCCCUGCACUUCGGGAUAAGCCUGGGAAACUGUGUCUAAUACCGGAUAGGACCACUGCCUGCAUGGGGGGUGGUGGAAAGCUUUUGCGGUGUGGGAUGGGCCCGCGGCCUAUCAGCUUGUUGGUGGGGUGAUGGCCUACCAAGGCGACGACGGGUAGCCGGCCUGAGAGGGUGACCGGCCACACUGGGACUGAGAUACGGUCCAGACUCCUACGGGAGGCAGCAGUGGGGAAUAUUGCACAAUGGGCGCAAGCCUGAUGCAGCGACGCCGCGUGAGGGAUGACGGCCUUCGGGUUGUAAACCUCUUUCAGCACCGACGAAGCGCAAGUGACGGUAGGUGCAGAAGAAGGACCGGCCAACUACGUGCCAGCCGCCGCCGUAA